rnacentral:lncRNA from 1 species
CUCAUGGCUUUGGCUACUGAGGAGUCAGGCUCCAGUCUUAAAGACCAAACCGAGAACUGAGGCAAUGGCUAAACGUACUUAAUGUGCUCUCCUCACAGCCUUCCCUGUUAUCUCAGCAAACAGUGGGGCGUUUUGAUACUCUUUAGAAAACAGGAAGUAGGAAGAUAAUUUGAUGAGGAAAAGCUAAAGAGACGUCAAAGAAAAAAAUAACAGACUAAAAGCCUUUUCAUUUAUAGGGCUCUUCUCAGUCUGUCAAAGAAGCCUGUUAGUUGACCAUCCCCAAAUACUGCAUGACAAGUUGAGUUACUGGCGGGGAAAGUCUGAGAGAGACCACGUGUAUGACUGAUCUGUGUUCAUGGUUCGGGGCCUGCCUGCUGUCAAAGCUUGAAAAACAGCAGCAGAGGAAAGAAAAGACCAGAGCCAAAGGGCCUUCUGAAUCAAGCAAAGAAAGAAACACUCCCCGGAAAGAAGACCGCAGUGCCAGCAGCGGAGCUGAGGGCGACGUGUCCUCCGAGCGGGAGCCCUAGGCCUGGGGGCGGACCUCAGUGCAUUUUCAUUGGGCAGAACUGGAUCCUGAAAAAUUCAUGAAAGAUGCUAAGCACCUACUCGGCUUUAAGAAUUUGGAACUGAAUCGUGAAAAGGAAGACAGAAAUAAAAGAUCGAAUAGCCCUGCAAAAAAACACCAAAGGAACGUUACCAUUUUCUGUUGUUGCUGUGGUCUAAUGGGGAGGGGGUGCUGUCAGUGUAGGGGAGCGCCCCGUGCACAUGGCAGCAGGGCAUACACCCAUGCCUCCCCCACGGGAAGGCUUUGUUGGUUCCUAUGAUGUCUUGGCUUGCUUUUGGGACGGGCUGGCCCAACAUCAUUUGUUAUCAAGUCCUUUCGCACUGUGGUGUAUUUCUGCGUGUCCAUGAUGGGUCUCAAACACAUUCAUGCUGUCCAUGUUUUUCCCAGCGCUGGCCAAUCCAGGGUCCGUGUUAAGGUGUAAAGAGAACAAUCAUCAAUGAUAAUGUAUUGUGUGAGACCUUUGCAUCUUGUAAAUUUUCUCUUUUUUCUAAAAAGAAAUAAAACUCCAAAUCUCAACAAGCCA